rnacentral:rRNA from 1 species
UUCCGGUUGAUCCCGCCGGACCCGACUGCUAUCAGAGUGGGAUUAAGCCAUGCGAGUCAACGUAGCAAUACGUGGCGCACGGCUCAGUAACACGUAGUCAACAUGCCCAAAGGACGUGGAUAACCUCGGGAAACUGAGUCUAAACCGCGAUGAGUCAAGAUUCCUGGAAUGGUUCCUGACUGAAAUCUAUAUGGCCUUUGGAUUGGACUGCGGCCGAUCAGGCUGUUGGUGAGGUAAUGGCCCACCAAACCUGUAACCGGUACGGGCUCUGAGAGGAGGAGCCCGGAGAUGGGCACUGAGACAAGGGCCCAGGCCCUAUGGGGCGCAGCAGGCGCGAAACCUCUGCAAUAGGCGAGAGCCUGACAGGGUUACUCUGAGUGAUUUUCGUUAAGAAAGUCUUUUGGCACCUCUAAAAAUGGUGCAGAAUAAGGGGUGGGCAAGUCUGGUGUCAGCCGCCGCGGUAAUACCAGCACCCCGAGUGGUCGGGACGAUUAUUGGGCCUAAAGCAUCCGUAGCCGGUUCUGCAAGUCUCCCGUUAAAUCCAACUGCUCAACAGGUGGGCUGCGGAGGAUACUACAGAGCUAGGAGGCAGGAGAGGCAAGCGGUACUCAGUGGGUAGGGGUAAAAUCCGUUGAUCCAUUGAAGACCACCAGUGGCGAAGGCGGCUUGCCAGAAUGCGCUCGACGGUGAGGGAUGAAAGCUGGGGGAGCAAACCGGAUUAGAUACCCGGGUAGUCCCAGCCGUAAACGAUGCAGACUCGGUGAUGGGUUGGCUUCGCGCUAACCCAGUGCCGCAGGGAAGCCGUUAAGUCUGCCGCCUGGGUAGUACGGUCGCAAGACUGAAACUUAAGGGAUUUGGCGGGGGAGCACCACAAGGGGUGAAGCCUGCGGUUCAAUUGGAUUCAACGCCGGG